UUGGACACAAAAGGAAGAAAAAAUAAAUUACAAUUUCCUUUCAUUCACAUCCCUGUAAUCUCUCCUUCCUCAUCACAUCACCCAUGUAUGCUAAUUUCCUCCACAACUACCCAACUCUAACACCAACACUUUCUUCAAUCCAUGCCUUCACACCUAAGAAUCACUUCACUCCAAAUCAAAGAACAGAGCCCCUUUUCCUGCAUCUUCAACCAAAAAAAUCAAGAAUCAUUAUCAAUUGUGCAGCAAAUAGGGAUGGUGUUAAGGGUGCAGUGAACUGGGCAGAAAUUCUUGAUAAAUGGUCGCCAAAAAAGUUUCUUGGAGCUGAUAAACUAUUUAGAGCUAUAUCUGGAGCAACUUCUAGCCCCAUUGCACAGUACAUACCUGCUCCAUUCACUUUUGUGCACUCUGUUGAUCCAAGAAUCAAAUUGGCAUGGCUCUUUACUCUGGUUAUUUUACCGGCAAAAUCAAAUGUAGUCAUACGUUUGUCAUUGGUUGCGUACUUAGCUAUACUAUCUAUUUUGGUCCAGCCUUCACAAGUGUGGAAGGAUCAACUCGGGAGAGUCACACUGCUGUCCGGGAUCUUAUUUAUAAUGCUGGGCCUAAGUACUGACAGUGCACCUUCCCUUAUCUCUUCAAGAGCUCCCCCACCUUCAAUGAUGGGAUUACCAUCUUUUCCUGCAUCUUUGGAAGGUUAUAAAUAUGUAAUCUUGAAGCUGGGUCCAUUACAACUCACCAGAAAAGGCUUAUCAACCGCUACUACAUCAGCAUGUUUAACCUUCACUAUCUUCCAAAGUGCAAGUGUAUUCCUAUCAACCACAACACCGGAGCAGAUAGCUUUUGCCUUGCGGUGGUUUAUAUCCCCUUUGGCCAACCUUGGUGUCCCUGUUGCUGAAGUUAUCCUUACUCUCCUGCUCUCCUUGAGAUUUAUCAAUCUUGUGUUUGAUGAGGUCCGAAAUGUUGCUCUUGGUAUUGUAUCUCGUAGGAUUAAUUGGCAGCAGAUGACAAUGUUGGAGACGAUAGAUGUUUUCUUCACAUAUAUUCGUCGGAUAUUCAGAAAUAUUUUUGUUCAUGCAGAGCAGAUAUCUCAGGCAAUGAUUGUUAGAGGUUUUCGAGGGGACAGCACCACUCACAAAAUAUUCUUGUCAGCAGACUCAUCUAGUGAAGUUGCAAAUUAUAUUUCCAUAUCAUGCCUUUUUGGUCUAAUAGCCUUAGUCACUUUGCCUAAGUACCUUAUACAAUAAAAACUUGACUAAUCAUCUGAAAAAGAUCCAUCGCUUGAUCUUUUAACCUUCAACUAUCUUAACCUCCAAAACAGCGAUUAACACUUCUCUUCAAACUUCUUUCUCUUCUUCUUCCUCUACAGUUGUACUCUUUUUGUAGAAAAAAGUUGGAUUCUUUCCUAGCAGAUGUCCAUGAAGAAGAAAACUGGUCAAAUCAAUUUCCUUUAUCAAUUGAAAGUGGCUGACCAAUAACUAUCCUAAUCUCAAAAGUGGGCUGGUUGCUCUCUCCCUCUAUCUGUGAUGAGCAUUGAAGUUGUUACUGACAUGGCAGCUGCAUGAGAUGGCUAUGGAAGUAUUUGGACCUGGUUUUCCAUAACGUAAAGGAGAUGGGAUUUUUAAACAAGUUCCGCUCAAGAGAAGCUAACUGGUGAUCACAAACUUACAAACAGUGUUAGUCCUUUAAGAAAAUCAUCAGAUCCUUGUGUAAUCAGUGGUAACUGCAAUCAUUCUAGCUCUCGCCACGAAGAUUUGGGUGUUGCAAAAUUAUGAGCUUCUGGCUGAGAUGACGAAAACUUUCAAGUGUUGUUAGAAACUGCAACGUGAUUCAGUUGACAUUUUUUAUGUAAAGGCACUAUUGAAGUGUUGUCUGUAUACAGUAUAAUCUAUACCUGAAAUGCAGGGAACUUUUGGUGCCUGAAAAAAGGAAAAUAACCAGAUUGGUAUUCUUCUUUUGCCCAAUGAAUACAAAAAAAAUUCAAUUUUGAUUGAAGUUCUUUUAGUUAAAAUUUUUGAUGUUUAGAUAGGAAGGUAUGGAGGUCAGAUUAGAGUAGAAGGGUAAUAAGUAGUUAAGUGUUAUCUCGUUUUUUGGUAUGAUCAGGUUUGGUGGUAGUGAGGAGCACUGUGUAAUUCGUAGUAUUACCUUUAUUUGUGUAUUUUCUUGCUUUUUAUA